AUGAACGCUGGCGGCGUGCCUAACACAUGCAAGUCGAGCGAUUCUCUUCGGAGAAGAGCGGCGGACGGGUGAGUAACGCGUGGGUAACCUGCCUCAUACACAUGGAUAACAUACCGAAAGGUAUGCUAAUACAGGAUAACAUAAGAGAUUCGCAUGUUUCUCUUAUCAAAGCUCCGGCGGUAUGAGAUGGACCCGCGUCUGAUUAGCUAGUUGGUAAGGUAAUGGCUUACCAAGGCAACGAUCAGUAGCCGACCUGAGAGGGUGAUCGGCCACAUUGGAACUGAGACACGGUCCAAACUCCUACGGGAGGCAGCAGUGGGGAAUAUUGCACAAUGGGCGAAAGCCUGAUGCAGCAACGCCGCGUGAGUGAUGAAGGCCUUCGGGUCGUAAAACUCUGUCCUCAAGGAAGAUAAUGACGGUACUGAGAGAGCCUG
rnacentral:rRNA from 1 species